rnacentral:rRNA from 1 species
UACAGAGGAGACAAGCGUUGUCCGGAUUUACUGGGCGUAAAGAGCGCGCAGGCGGUCGAUCAAGUCGAGUGUGAAAGCCCCCGGCUCAACUGGGGAGGGUCAUUCGAUACUGAUCGACUCGAAGGCAGGAGAGGGUAGUGGAAUUCCCGGUGUAGUGGUGAAAUGCGUAGAUAUCGGGAGGAACACCAGUGGCGAAGGCGACUACCUGGCCUGUUCUUGACGCUGAGGCGCGAAAGCUAGGGGAGCAAACGGG